CUGAAGUGAAGGGAGAGUCCAUUUCUGCAGAUGAUGUCAGAAGUAUUGCUCAAACCCACUUAGUCUGUAUGAAAGCAGGCCCUUCUUGCAUCAGAGCGGGGGUCAGGGUUGGGGGGUGAGGGCUCUGGAUCUGCCUGGGACGGGGCUCAGGGUUUCAAAGCAAGCUGCAAGGUCUGUGCCUAAGUGGCUCUGCAUUUAACUUGAUCAACACUGGUUUAUUCCCAGGGGCCUCAGUGUCUCAUAAGAAGACUUUUUGUUCUUGUUGCUGCUGCUGGCCUGCUGAUGACAGCGUUAAGGAAUCCAGGGAGGAGACCUUCAAUAAUAAAGUGACACAACGUGCUUUCAGGUGAUUUCUCUGAGCAGUUGUGGGGCUAGGAAUUAAUCUUUAAAAUGCAGGUACGUGGCUUUGAGCAUGUGUCGAGAGGGAACCUGCAGAACACUUUGGCAUGAGGUUUAGCUAAGUGUAAGUUUUCAGGAUGUUUAUAUGAAAAACUUUCCACUCGGGAUACUCUACUGUAUCCGUUUUCACUUCAUCAUAGCAGAGUUUAUCCUCCCACACUGCUACUGAUUUACUGCUUCCCAGCAUUCUUCCAAAAAGCUACUUAGGCACUUUUUGUUGUCCCGUGAGAGUGAUGCUGCACUUGCCAGGUGUGGUAACUGGACCAAGGAAGGGGUAGAUGAAUAAAACGUGGUUCCCUGGUUUCAGCAGCUCACAGUGAUCUGGGGGAAACAGAAACGUGAACAGCUCACGUUCUGGAGGCUAAAAAUCCAAGAUCAAGGUUCCAGCAAAUUCAGUUCUGGUGCCAGCUGUCUUCUUGUGGUGUCCUCAUAAAGCAGAGAGAAGGAGCUCUGGAGUCUUCUUAUAAGAAUCCUAUGGACAGAAGAGCCCAGUGUGCUACAGUCCAUGGAGUCACAUAGAAUUGGACAUGACUGAAGCUCACACAUGUCGUUAAGAAGUGAGAUUGGACUUGACCACAGCCUGCUUAUCCUGAGGAACCUGAGGACCAGCUACAUAAUUUGUGGAGUCCAGUGCAAGAUAAAAAUAUAGGUCCCCUUGUUCAAAGACUAUUAAGAACUUCAAAUCCGUGAUCACAGAGCAUUGAACCAAGCACAAGGCUGCUCUGAGCAUGGAGCCCUCUGUGACCGGCCUGCAGGUCACAUACCCGUGAUGUCGUCUCUGCCCCAAACAUACGAAGGAAAAGCUCUUCCUUGUCCUGACCCAGGAGAUCUGUGUGAGGGCAUCCCACAUCUGACUUCUCUCCCGUCCCCAGGAACCAGGGUCCUGGAGAGUGAGAGAGAUACAUGGGGGAAAGUGUAUGAGAUCUUACUCUGCAAAUACUGGACAUACACUGUUUUAGGCUCUGGAGAUUCUGCAGUAAACAAGUCCUUGUCCUCAUGGGGCUUGAAAUCUAACUGGGGAGGACAGCAGUCAACAAACAGGCAAACACCCGCACGUAAUGUGUUGGAUACUGACGAGCACCUUGGAGAGAAGGAAAGCAGGGCAAGCAGGGAGGAUGGGAUCAGCGUGAAGGGAUGGUGUCUGAGAGGGGCUAUUUGAGUAAAGGCCUGGAGGGAGGGAGUCACGCAGGUACUUGAGAAGGGGAACAUUCAGGCAGAGGGUCUGCCAAGUGCAGAGGCCCUGAGGCCUGUCAGAUUUGAGGAAGAACAAGAGGGCAGCUUGGCCGGUAUGGCUGCUGGGGGUUUGGAGGCUGUGCAGUUGGAAAAGGGAGUUGCACUAAAGACUCUGGAUUUUACUCUGGAUCAGAUGGAAGCUUUGGGUGUUUACAGCAAAGCUGGGUCAUCAUCUGACUUAGGUUAAAUCAGGGGUCCCCGGCCUCCAGGAUCUGAUGCCUGAUGAUCUGAGGUGGAACUGAUGUAAUAAUGAUAGAAAUAGAGUGCAUAAUAAAUCUCCUCCCUGCUCGUUUCUUCCAUGAAAAUCAGUCCCUGGUGCUGAAAAGGCUGGGGGCUGCUGGGUUAAAGGGCUCCCUCUGUACUCCGUUGAGAAGAGAUUGUGGGGACAGAAGAGUGAUGACCAGUGUGGAGGUUCUUGCGGUAAUAACCCAGGUGGCUCUGACCAAAAGCUGCUCCUGGUGGAGGUGAUGAAAAAUGGCCAGAUUCUAGAAAUAUUGUAAUCUUAAAAGGACAAGGGGCCGGGUUGGACUUGUUUAUCACUUUAAUCCUACUGCCAGACAGAUGGUCUGGCCCAUGUAGGUGCCCAACAAAUAUAUGUUUAAUGAGUUAAUACAAUUUAACACAAUUUCUUAUAAUAGCGUUGUAAGAUAUAUUUAAAGAAUGAAAAGAGGCAGGAAGCCUUGCUAGUAUUUUAGAAUUUUUUUAUCCCCACUGUGCUUCAAUGAAGUCUUCAAAAAUGUUAAAGGUCAGUUCAGAUGAAAUAAAUUACAUGUCUCAAGGUGAUAUAGCCUGUCUCCCUGAACAUGCUUUUAAAAUUGACAGUAUGAUUAUUUUUAGUGUGUGGUCCGUAGGUGACACUGUAUUCUUGUCAGGGCUUCCUCUCCACCAGGUCAUGUGUGCAAGGCCGCUAAGGUAGAGUGUUUUGUUUUCAUAAGAGCUGUUUUUUAUUCUGUUUUUUCUUUAAAAACUUUAUUUUAUAUUGGAGCAUACUUAAUUAACAAUGUUGUGUUAGUUUCGGGUGAACAGUGAAGGGACUCAGUCCUACAUAUUAAUGUAUUCAUUCUCCCAAAUUCCCUCCUCAUCCAGACUGCCACGUAACAUUAAGUGGAGUUCCCUGUGCUCUACAGUAGGACCUUGUUAUUCAUUUUAAAUAUAGCAGUGUGUACAUGUGGAUUCCAAACUCCCUAACUCACUCUCUCUUCACCCUUCUCUCUGGUAAGAAGGUUGAGUGUUAAAUGCAAUUUUAACUGAACUUUAUACUUGGUCUAUAGAUAAUUAGAUUAGCUUCUCCAACAAUUUGGUAAGAUUCUCUUGAAAUUAUAUGUACAAGACAAACAUUUGAAAAUGUCAUUCUUCCUUAAUGGAAUACUUA